rnacentral:rRNA from 1 species
UAAUACGAACUGUGCGAACGUUAUUCGGAAUCACUGGGCUUACAGGGUGCGUAGGCGGCUUCGCCAGUCAGGUGUGAAAGCCCCCGGCUCAACCGGGGAACUGCGCUUGAAACUGCGAGGCUCGAGUCAGCUAGAGGUGCACGGAACUUCCAGUGGAGCGGUGAAAUGUGUUGAUAUUGGAAGGAACACCGGAGGCGAAAGCGGUGCACUGGGGCUGGUCUGACGCUGAGGCACGAAAGCCAGGGGAGCGAACGGGAUUAGAUACCCCGGUAGUCCUGGCCGUAAACGAUGAGUGCUGGACGGGAGGAGGUUCGCCUUCUUCGGUCGGAGCGAAAGCGGGAAGCACUCCGCCUGGGGAGUAUGGUCGCAAGGCUG